UCGCUACUACCGAUUGAAUGGCUUAGUGAGCCCGAGGGACUGUUGCACCUAGAGGGGUUUCUCUCCAGGAGCAGCCGGGAACUCGGUCAAACUUGAUCAUUUAGAGGAAGUAA
rnacentral:rRNA from 1 species